AGCGAACGCUGGCGGCAGGCCUAACACAUGCAAGUCGAACGAAGUCUUCGGACUUAGUGGCGGACGGGUGAGUAACACGUGGGAACGUGCCCUUAGAUUCGGAAUAACUCAGGGAAACUUGUGCUAAUACCGAAUGUGCCCUUCGGGGGAAAGAUUUAUCGCCUUUAGAGCGGCCCGCGUCUGAUUAGCUAGUUGGUGAGGUAAAGGCUCACCAAGGCUACGAUCAGUAGCUGGUCUGAGAGGAUGACCAGCCACAUUGGGACUGAGACACGGCCCAAACUCCUACGGGAGGCAGCAGUGGGGAAUCUUGCGCAAUGGGCGAAAGCCUGACGCGGCCAUGCCGCGUGGAUGAUGAAGGUCUUAGGAUUGUAAAAUCCUUUCACCGGUGAAGAUAAUGACUGUAGCCGGAGAAGAAGCCCCGGCUAACUUCGUGCCAGCCGCCGCAGUAACAC
rnacentral:rRNA from 1 species